AAGGUCAAGUGAAGAAGGGCGCACGGUGAAUGCCUUGGCACUGGAAGCCGAUGAAGGACGCGACUAACCGCGAAAGUCUUCGGGGAGCCGUAAGUAGGCUUUGAUCCGGAGGUCUCCGAAUGGGGGAACCCAGCAUGUGCAGACAUGCUAUCCUUAAGUGAAUACAUAGCUUAAGGAAGGAACACGCAGUGAACUGAAACAUCUAAGUAGCUGCAGGAAGAGAAAGAAAUAUCGAUUUCCCAAGUAGCGGCGAGCGAACAGGAAAGAGCCCAAACCGUCAGAUUUAUCUGCCGGGGUUGUAGGACUGAGACAUGGCACUUCAGAGGAUAGCAGAAGCGUUUGGGAAAGCGCGCCAGAGAGGGUGAGAGCCCCGUAAGCGAAAUCCAAAGAAGGCCUAUCAGUAUCCUGAGUAGGGCGGGACACGUGAAAUCCCGUUUGAAUCCGCGAGGACCAUCUCGCAAGGCUAAAUACUAACCAGUGACCGAUAGUGAACCAGUACCGUGAGGGAAAGGUGAAAAGAACCCCGGGAGGGGAGUGAAAGAGAACCUGAAACCGUGUGCCUACAAGUAGUCAGAGCCCGUUAACGGGUAAUGGCGUGCCUUUUGUGGAAUGAACCGGCGAGUUGCGUUAGUCAGCAAGGUUAAGUCAGAAAAGACGGAGCCGUAGCGAAAGCGAGUCUGAAGAGGGCGAGCAGUUGGCUGACGCAGACCCGAAACCAAGUGACCUACCCAUGACCAGGUUGAAGGCGCGGUAAAACGCGCUGGAGGACCGAACCCACGUAAGUUGAAAAUUGCGGGGAUGAGUUGUGGGUAGCGGUGAAAUUCCAAACGAACUUGGAGAUAGCUGGUUCUCUCCGAAAUAGCUUUAGGGCUAGCCUCGCAAAGAGGAUGCUGGAGGUAGAGCUCUGUUUGGACUAGGGGCCCGUCAAGGGUUACUGAAUUCAGAUAAACUGCGAAUUCCAGACAUUUAUGUGCGGGAGUCAGACUGCGAGUGAUAAGAUCCGUAGUCGAAAGGGAAACAGCCCAGAUCACCAGUUAAGGUCCCAAAAUUCAUGCUAAGUGGAAAAGGAUGUGGAGUUGCGCAGACAACUAGGACGUUGGCUCAGAAGCAGCCAUCAUUCAAAGAGUGCGUAAUAGCUCACUAGUCGAGUGACGCCGCGCCGAAAAUUUACCGGGGCUAAGCAUGAUACCGAAACUGUGGAUGUGCAUUUAUGCACGUGGUAGGAGAGCGUUCUAGCGGCGGUGAAGCAUGACCGAGAGGACAUGUGGAGCUUCUAGAAGUGAGAAUGCCGGUAUGAGUAACGAAAGACAGGUGAGAAUCCUGUCCGCCGCAAGACUAAGGUUUCCUGGGGCAGGCUCGUCCGCCCAGGGUAAGUCGGGACCUAAGGCGAGGCCGAGAGGCGUAGUCGAUGGACAACAGGUUGAAAUUCCUGUACUGCACCGAAUCGUUAUGAGCGAUGGAGGGACGCAGGAGGCUAGCAGCGCGUGGUGCUGGAUACCACGUUCAAGCGUCAAGUCUGAGAGUGAGUCAAAUGCUUGCUCUCAUAAGGACAAGGCGUGAUGAGGAGCGAAAUUAAAGUAGCGAAGGCUGCGACGUCACACUGCCGAGAAAAGCUUCUAGCCAGAGACGGUGCACCCGUACCGCAAACCGACACAGGUAGUCGAGGAGAGUAUCCUCAGGUGAGCGAGAGAACUCUCGUUAAGGAACUCGGCAAAAUGGCCCCGUAACUUCGGGAGAAGGGGCGCUGGUCGCAAGAUCAGCCGCAGUGAAAAGGCCCAAAGCAACUGUUUAUCAAAAACACAGGCAUCUGCAAAAUCGUAAGAUGAAGUAUAGGUGCUGACACCUGCCCGGUGCUGGAAGGUUAAGAGGAGAGCUUAGCGCAAGCGAAGGUUUGAAUUGAAGCCCCAGUAAACGGCGGCCGUAACUAUAACGGUCCUAAGGUAGCGAAAUUCCUUGUCGGGUAAGUUCCGACCUGCACGAAAGGUGUAAUGAUUUGGGCACUGUCUCAACGAGAGACUCGGUGAAAUUAUAAUACCCGUGAAGAUGCGGGUUACCCGCGACAGGACGGAAAGACCCCAUGGAGCUUUACUGCAGUUUAAUAUUGGGUAUCUGUCAAGCAUGUACAGGAUAGGUAGGAGCCGGAGAAGAUAGGACGCCAGUCUUAUCUGAGGCGCUGUUGGGAUACUACCCUUGCUUGACGGAUGCUCUAACUCAGGCCUGUGAUCCAGGCCGAGGACAGUGUUUGACGGGCAGUUUGACUGGGGCGGUCGCCUCCUAAAGUGUAACGGAGGCGCCCAAAGGUUCCCUCAGAAUGGUUGGAAAUCAUUCGCAGAGUGUAAAGGUAAAAGGGAGCUUGACUGCGAGAGAGACAACUCGAGCAGGUACGAAAGUAGGGCUUAGUGAUCUGGUGGUACCGCAUGGAAGGGCCAUCACUCAACGGAUAAAAGCUACCCUGGGGAUAACAGGCUUAUCUCCCCCAAGAGUUCACAUCGACGGGGAGGUUUGGCACCUCGAUGUCGGCUCGUCGCAUCCUGGGGCUGAAGUCGGUCCCAAGGGUUGGGCUGUUCGCCCAUUAAAGCGGCACGCGAGCUGGGUUCAGAACGUCGUGAGACAGUUCGGUCCCUAUCCGUCGUGGGCGCAGGAAAUUUGAGAGGAGCUGUCCUUAGUACGAGAGGACCGGGAUGGACGCACCGCUGGUGUACCAGUUGUCUUGCCAAAGGCAUCGCUGGGUAGCUAUGUGCGGACGGGAUAAGCGCUGAAAGCAUCUAAGUGCGAAGCCCCCCUCAAGAUGAGAUUUCCCAUUUCUUCAAGAAAGUAAGACACCUCAGAGACGAUGAGGUAGAUAGGCCGGGAGUGGAAGAGCCGUGAGGCUUGGAGCGGACCGGUACUAAUCAGUCGAGGACUUGACCAAAAGAGCGAAGCAAUGAGGUUUUGACUUGGUAAAAGAUAUUCAGUUUUGAGCGUGCAAGCUCAAGCAAGAGUGCGGUGGC
rnacentral:rRNA from 1 species